GUCUAUGGCCAGACCACCCUGAACGUGCCCGAUCUCAUCUGAUCUUGGAAGCUAAGCAGGGUCCGACCCAGUUAGUAUUUGGAUGGGAGAGUGCAGUGGGUAGAUU
rnacentral:rRNA from 1 species